rnacentral:rRNA from 1 species
CCUACGGGUGGCAGCAGUGGGGAAUCUUGGACAAUGGGGGCAACCCUGAUCCAGCAAUGCCGCGUGUGUGAAGAAGGCCUUCGGGUUGUAAAGCACUUUCAGCGGGGAGGAAGGCGGUGAGGUUAAUAACCUCAUCGAUUGACGUUACCCGCAGAAGAAGCACCGGCUAACUCCGUGCCAGCAGCCGCGGUAAUACGGAGGGUGCAAGCGUUAAUCGGAAUUACUGGGCGUAAAGCGCACGCAGGCGGUCUGUCAAGUCGGAUGUGAAAUCCCCGGGCUCAACCUGGGAACUGCAUUCGAAACGGGCAGGCUAGAGUCUUGUAGAGGGGGGUAGAAUUCCAGGUGUAGCGGUGAAAUGCGUAGAGAUCUGGAGGAAUACCGGUGGCGAAGGCGGCCCCCUGGACAAAGACUGACGCUCAGGUGCGAAAGCGUGGGGAGCAAACAGGAUUAGAUACCCGGGUAGUC